AGUCACUGCUAUCUGAAUCCGACUAAGGCAUGCUAGUCUUAGGUAAAACUAGGGCGAACAGCUCAGUAACACGUAGUCAACCUGCCCUUGAGCCUGGGGUAAUCUCGCGAAAGUGAGGCCGAUCCCCGGAUAGAUGAUUAUUCCUGGAAUGGUCUAUCAUCGAAUCAAGGAUGGGACUGCGGCCUAUUAGAUUGUUGUCAGAGUAACGACCUGACAAGUCUAUAAUGGGUACGGGCCUUGAGAGAGGAAGCCCGGAGAUGGAAUCUGAGACAAGAUUCCAGGUCCUACGGGAUGCAGCAGCUGCGAAACUUUCGCAAUUCGCGCAAGCGUGACGAAGGGAUUCAGAGUGCUUUCUCUUCGGAGGAAGCUUUUGUCAAGUUUAAACCGCUUGAAGAAUAAGUGGUGGGUAAGACGGGUGCCAGCCGCCGCGGUAAUACCCGCGCCACGAGUGGUGACCUCGUUUAUUGGGUUUAAAGCGUUCGUAGCCGGUUUGGUAAGUUCUUAAUGAAAUCGACGAGCGAAGCUCGGCGAGCUGUCGCUUGCGACAUGAAAUCUGGCAGCUGACUGUCAGGCCUGUUAGGGAAACUACCAGACUUGAGACCGGGAGAGGCUAAGGGUAUUAUUGGAGUAGGGGUAAAAGAGCCUCUUACGGGAGUUUCCACUUCCGCAAAAAUCCUCGGAAAAACAGAGGCUAUACAAUCCUGUAAUUCCAAUAAGACCACCUGUGGCGUGAGCCUUUUACGAGAGCUAUCGCUUCUGCCAAAGACUCAAGCGAAAACCGAAAAGAAAAGGCUUCCACACAAGGCGCUUAGCUAGAACGGAUCUGACGGUGAGGGACGAAAGCUAGGGGAGCGAAGGGGAUUAGAUUGACCCUUUUUUCAGAAAAAGCGUCAACAGAAAAAGGAGGCUGCUUGCUUCCGCUCGUUACG
rnacentral:rRNA from 1 species